CGUCAGUUUUUAUCACUGUGAUAUUCCAAGCAUAACGGUUAUCACCGGGUGAAAAUUGGUACA
rnacentral:pre_miRNA from 1 species